CCCGCGCGGGCGCAGGCGGCCGGGAUGGCGGGGCCCGGCUGGGGUCCCCCGCGCCUGGACGGCUUCAUCCUCACCGAGCGCCUGGGCAGCGGCACGUACGCCACGGUGUACAAGGCCUACGCCAAGAAGGACACUCGUGAAGUCGUAGCCAUAAAGUGUGUAGCCAAGAAAAGUCUGAACAAGGCAUCGGUGGAGAACCUCCUCACGGAGAUUGAGAUCCUCAAGGGCAUUCGACAUCCCCACAUUGUGCAGCUGAAAGACUUUCAGUGGGACAGUGACAAUAUCUACCUCAUCAUGGAGUUUUGCGCAGGGGGCGACCUGUCUCGCUUCAUCCAUACCCGCAGGAUUCUGCCUGAGAAGGUGGCACGUGUCUUCAUGCAGCAAUUAGCUAGCGCCCUGCAAUUCCUGCAUGAACGGAAUAUCUCUCACCUGGAUCUGAAGCCACAGAACAUUCUACUGAGCUCCUUGGAGAAGCCCCACCUAAAACUGGCAGACUUUGGUUUCGCACAACACAUGUCCCCGUGGGAUGAGAAGCACGUGCUCCGUGGCUCCCCCCUCUACAUGGCCCCCGAGAUGGUGUGCCAGCGGCAGUAUGACGCCCGCGUGGACCUCUGGUCCGUGGGGGUCAUCCUGUAUGGUGAGACCUCUUUUCCCUGCUUCUCACCCUGAGGCCUACACUGUUUCCUCAGGCAAGGCCUCUCUGGGCCACUUCUGAAGGGUUCUGAUGAAAACUGACUGCUGGCCCAGGGCCCCUGCUGAGGGGCGUCAGGCCAGGCUUGACCCAUUCCCUCCCAGCCUCCACUCUGCCUCCCUUCCACAGAAGCCCUCUUCGGGCAGCCCCCCUUUGCCUCCAGGUCGUUCUCGGAGCUGGAAGAGAAGAUCCGUAGCAACCGGGUCAUCGAGCUCCCCUUACGGCCCCUGCUCUCCGGAGACUGCCGGGACCUACUGCAGCGGCUCCUGGAGCGGGACCCCAGCCGUCGCAUCUCCUUCCAGGACUUCUUUGCGCACCCCUGGGUGGACCUGGAGCACAUGCCCAGUGGGGAGAGUCUGGGGCGAGCAACCGCCCUGGUGGUGCAGGCUGUGAAGAAAGACCAGGAGGGGGAUGCAGCAGCCGCCUUAUCACUCUACUGCAAGGCUCUGGACUUCUUUGUACCUGCCCUGCACUAUGAAGUGGAUGCCCAGCGGAAGGAGGCAAUUAAGGCAAAGGUGGGGCAGUACGUGUCCCGGGCCGAGGAGCUCAAGGCCAUCGUCUCCUCUUCCAAUCAGGCCCUGCUGAGGCAGGGGACCUCUGCCCGAGACCUGCUCAGAGAGAUGGCCCGGGACAAGCCACGCCUCCUAGCUGCCCUGGAAGUGGCUUCAGCUGCCAUGGCCAAGGAGGAGGCCGCUGGCGAGGAGCAGGAUGCCCUGGACCUGUACCAGCACAGCCUGGGGGAGCUGCUGCUGUUGCUGGCAGGCGGGAGCUGCUUCACACUGAGGUUCAGAACCUCAUGGCCCGAGCUGAAUACCUGAAGGAGCAGGUCAAGAUGAGGGAAUCUCGCUGGGAAGCUGACACCCUGGACAAAGAGGGACUGUCGGAAUCUGUUCGUAGCUCUUGCACCCUUCAGUGACCCUAGAAGAAUGAUUGGACAGAUGUGAGCCAUCUGGAGCAGAGGGGCACUAACCCAGGCUGACGCCAAGAAUGAAGUGGCCCACUGCAGCCCUGGCGAGCAGGCUUCUUGGAUGGACAGUGCUGAGACCCCCAUAUCCCAGAGUCCCCAGCCUCCCUCAGGUUACUCUGCACCCCACAGGUGGUUUGAUGGCUGUGCUGUAUACUGGAGGGGAGGGCAGGACUCUGGGAGAACAGCACUUCUUUCAUGAGACCUUUGUUACUUGGUGGUUACUGGGUCCUGUGCCUGUCCGUUUUGGGGCAUGCAGCCGUCUAUCGUUUUUGGCUCCGAGAAGGGGGCAAGGGGCCCCUGCAGGGUACUUCUGUGCUUGCCCUCGCCCUGCCAGCAGGCAGCUGUGCCCUUGGCCUGCCCUUCCUGGGAUCCCUUAUUCCAACUCAGCUCCUCUUUGCACUGGAAUGGGGCACUCCAACACCCCUCAGGGACCACCCUCCCCACAGUAUGCACUCAGCCCCACAGAACCCACCAGUCUUUCUGGGAACUCACACCUGCCCGCCAUCUUGGUACUUUAAGUUAAUCCUUCAAGCAUGAAAGUUGGAUCUCUUGGGGUUUAAGAAGCCCAAGCCUUGUUCCUGCCCUGGCCUAGGGUGCACUCAGGAGGGUUCCUUGGUCCUCAUCUCUCCCACCUCCGUUCCCUUUGGGCCCCACACUGGCCACAGCGCAGGCCUUGUGCUGGAGUUUGAGCCUGGGACAGGGAGAGGGAGGCCUGGAGACGGUCUGACCCAGUGCCCUCUAGGCUACCCACUUCUAGGCCUGCUCUGCCGCUGUGGAGCCCUGGGCAAGCUCUUUCCCCUUUCUGGGCCUGGGUCUCCCCAUCUCUUCAAUGGGGCUGAUACCUUCACAGCCCACAGCAUGGGCACUUAUGAGGACAAAGUGAAUUUAACCUGGAAAGAAUGUAUUUGAGAGUUUCUUUUAAGUAAUCAGCGGGUGUUGGUGAUUUGUAGCCCUUCUGCCCUUAAAUGCUUCCUUGGGCAAGAGCUGUCUGUCCUCCCUGCAGGAGGCUGAGUGUGAAGAGUAUCAUUCAUUGUUUCUCUAUUAAAUUAUUUUCUCUA
rnacentral:sRNA from 1 species